rnacentral:rRNA from 1 species
UGAGGAAUAUUGGUCAAUGGGGGCAACCCUGAACCAGCCAAGUCGCGUGAAGGAUGAAGGUCUUAUGGAUUGUAAACUUCUUUUACACGGGAAUAAAGUGGGGGACGUGUCCCCCUUUGCAUGUACCGUGUGAAUAAGGAUCGGCUAACUCCGUGCAGCAGCCGCGGUAAUACGGAGGAUCCGAGCGUUAUCCGGAUUUAUUGGGUUUAAAGGGUGCGCAGGCGGGAUGUUAAGUCGGCGGUGAAAUUUUGCAGCUCAACUGUAAAAGUGCCUGCGAUACUGGCCUCCCUGAGUGUGGAUGAAGUAGGCGGAAUUUGUGGUGUGGCGGUGAAAUGCUUGGAUAUCACGAGGAACUCCGAUUGCGCAGGCAGCUUACUAAGCCACAACUGACGCUCAUGCACGAAGGCGUGAGGAUCAAACA